rnacentral:rRNA from 1 species
UACAGAGGGUGCGAGCGUUAAUCGGAAUUACUGGGCGUAAAGCGCACGUAGUCGGCUUUGCAAGUCGGGUGUGAAAUCCCCGGGCUCAACCUGGGAACUGCAUCCGAAACUGCCUUGCUCGAGUAUGGGAGAGGGAAGUGGAAUUUCCGGUGUAGCGGUGAAAUGCGUAGAUAUCGGAAGGAACAUCAGUGGCGAAGGCGACUUCCUGGACCAAUACUGACGCUCAGGUGCGAAAGCGUAGGGAGCAAACAGG